CCCCUCUCUAACCCCAACACAACCACCUCAGCCAGCCGGCUGGCCUAGCCCUCUGGGUUCCAGAACCACAGUGAUGUCCUCAAGGCCCAUCAACCAUGAAUGAUCAGCAAGACAUGUUCUUCUGUUCAAUGACCACGACCCAAGAUGGCAGCCUUCUUCCUACCUACUAGUCUGUGGCACGGGACACUGAAAGUGCCUGGGAUCCACCAUCUGUCCCUUUGAAGAAGCAGUGCCUCCAACACCAGAGAGUCCAGAUUUGUGGGAACAGGAAGCCCAUAUAACAUAAUACUUUCCCAGGACUGGGACGUGGAUCUUUCUUCGGGGAGCCACCAUUCUCCCCAUGACAGUGGGUACAGCAGCUGCCAUGGCUCCUGCUUCCUGCCGCCCGGUCAGCCCCCCUCCUGUCUCCUGGGAGAGGGUGACAGAUAUCGGACUGCUGGAGGCCAAGUGCACAGAUGUGACUGGUGGCAUGUGUCACUACUCAAUUGUCUACAAGGACCAUGGAUGCAAAGAUGGAGCGUCAUCUUCUAACUGAAACCACUCUUCCUCUCAAGCUCCACAUUGGACUGACUUCACCAGCUCAGUCUACAUCGGCUCCGUCACUGCUCAGUGGGACCCUGUUCACUCAUUCACUCCACAGGUAACUCCUGAGACCCUGCCACAUGUCCUAGGAGUGUGCAAAUCUCACUGUUCGCUGGCCAUAGUGGCACACGCCUAUCAUCUCAACACUGUGAAGCUGAGGCAGGAGGAUCCCAAGUUCAAGCCAAGCCCGGGCAACUUAGAG
rnacentral:lncRNA from 1 species